UAAGCAUAUCAAUAAGCGGAGGAAAAGAAACCAACAGGGAUUGCUCUAGUAACGGCGAGUGAAGCAGCAAUAGCUCAAAUUUGAAAUCUGGCGUCUUCGACGUCCGAGUUGUAAUUUGUAGAGGAUGCUUCUGAGUAACCACCGACCUAAGUUCCUUGGAACAGGACGUCAUAGAGGGUGAGAAUCCCGUAUGCGGUCGGAAAGGUGCUCUAUACGUAGCUCCUUCGACGAGUCGAGUUGUUUGGGAAUGCAGCUCUAAAUGGGAGGUAAAUUUCUUCUAAAGCUAAAUAUUGGCCAGAGACCGAUAGCGCACAAGUAGAGUGAUCGAAAGAUGAAAAGCACUUUGGAAAGAGAGUUAAAAAGCACGUGAAAUUGUUAAAAGGGAAGGGAUUGCAACCAGACUUGCUCGCGGUGUUCCGCCGGUCUUCUGACCGGUCUACUCGCCGCGUUGCAGGCCAGCAUCGUCUGGUGCCGCUGGAUAAGACUUGAGGAAUGUAGCUCCCUCGGGAGUGUUAUAGCCUCUUGUGAUGCAGCGAGCGCCGGGCGAGGUCCGCGCUUCGGCUAGGAUGCUGGCGUAAUGGUCGUAAUCCGCCCGUCUUGAAACACGGACCAAGGAGUCUAACAUCUAUGCGAGUGUUCGGGUGUCAAACCCCUACGCGUAAUGAAAGUGAACGGAGGUGAGAACCGCAAGGUGCAUCAUCGACCGAUCCUGAUGUCUUCGGAUGGAUUUGAGUAAGAGCAUAGCUGUUGGGACCCGAAAGAUGGUGAACUAUGCCUGAAUAGGGUGAAGCCAGAGGAAACUCUGGUGGAGGCUCGCAGCGGUUCCUGACGUGCAAAUCGAUCGUCAAAUUUGGGUAUAGGGGCGAAAGACUAAUCGAACCAUCUAGUAGCUGGUUCCUGCCGA
rnacentral:rRNA from 1 species